AAGACGGUUUCAUUUCAGCUGAAUAAAGAUUGUACAUGUUUGGUAUACAACGUGAAAGCUGAAGUGUGUGUGAGUGUGUUUGUGUGUGAGUGUGUGUGUGUGUGUGUGUGUGAGUGUGUGUGUGUGUGUGAGUGUGUGUGUGUGUGUGUGUGUGAGUGUGAGUGUGUGUGUGAGUGUGUGUGUGAGUGUGUGUGUGUGUGUGUGUGAUGGAGGUUUUUGUAUGACGGUUUCAUUAGAAUGAAUCACUGUGGAGAACGUUCGGUGGAGGCACCAAAUUCGUUGUGAAAACCGGCCCCGCGCUGAAGCCGUCCGUGUCUCUGCUCCCCCCGUCCCCCCUGCAGCUGUCUGAGGGAUCGGCCUCGCUGCUCUGCCUGCUGUCUGGUUACUCUCCACAGGGGGCGCUCGUCAGCUGGACGGUGGACGGCUCCGGAACAGAUGACAAAGCUCUGACCAGCGCGGAGGAAGAGAAGAACGGCCGCUACAGCCGGGGCAGCACCCUGACCCUCAGCAAAGCACUGUGGGAGAAGGGCCAGGAGUUCAGGUGUACGGUCACCCAUGAUGGCUCCAAACAUUCGGCCGUGUUUGAGAAGAGCCAGUGUGUAGCCUAGCAGAUCCAGGAUGGUGUUAAGACAUCUAGACUAGAGCUGAUAUUUCUGUCGUUACUCUGUUUUUCCUCUGCUUCUGUUCUACUGAAAUAAAGCUGAACGUUGAAGAUC